rnacentral:rRNA from 1 species
UAGGGAAUCUUCGGCAAUGGACGAAAGUCUGACCGAGCAACGCCGCGUGAGUGAAGAAGGUUUUCGGAUCGUAAAACUCUGUUGUUAGAGAAGAACAAGGACGUUAGUAACUGAACGUCCCCUGACGGUAUCUAACCAGAAAGCCACGGCUAACUACGUGCCAGCAGCCGCGGUAAUACGUAGGUGGCAAGCGUUGUCCGGAUUUAUUGGGCGUAAAGCGAGCGCAGGCGGUUUCUUAAGUCUGAUGUGAAAGCCCCCGGCUCAACCGGGGGGAGUCAUUGGAAACUGGGGGACUUGAGUGCAGAAGAGGGGAGUGGAAUUCCAUGUGUAGCGGUGAAAUGCGUAGAUAUAUGGAGGAACGCCAGUGGCGAAGGCGGCUCUCUGGUCUGUAACUGACGCUGAGGCUCGAAAGCGUGGGGAGCAAACAGG